GAUGAACGCUGGCGGCGUGCCUAAUACAUGCAAGUCGAGCGAACAGACGAGGAGCUUGCUCCUCUGACGUUAGCGGCGGACGGGUGAGUAACACGUGGAUAACCUACCUAUAAGACUGGGAUAACUUCGGGAAACCGGAGCUAAUACCGGAUAAUAUAUUGAACCGCGUGGUUCAAUAGUGAAAGACGGUUUUGCUGUCACUUAUAGAUGGAUCCGCGCCGCAUUAGCUAGUUGGUAAGGUAACGGCUUACCAAGGCAACGAUGCGUAGCCGACCUGAGAGGGUGAUCGGCCACACUGGAACUGAGACACGGUCCAGACUCCUACGGGAGGCAGCAGUAGGGAAUCUUCCGCAAAGGGCGAAAGCCUGACGGAGCAACGCCGCGUGAGUGAUGAAGGUCUUCGGAUCGUAAAACUCUGUUAUUAGGGAAGAACAAAUGUGUAAGUAACUAUGCACGUCUUGACGGUACCUAAUCAGAAAGCCACGGCUAACUACGUG
rnacentral:rRNA from 1 species